AGCAGCCGCGGUAAUUCCAGCCCCAAUAGCGUAUAUUAAAGUUGUUGCAGUUAAAAGCUCGUAGUUGAAUUUCGGGAUCAAUAUAUUGGUCAUGCUUAGGUAUGUACUGGUAUUAUUGAUUUCUCCCUUCUGAAGAACCAUGAUGUCAUUAAUUUGAUGUCGUGGGGAAUCAGGACUGUUUGAAAAAUUAGAGUGUUUAAAGCAGGCUUUCGCUUGAAUACAUUAGCAUGGAAUAAUGAAAUAGGACGUUUGAUUCUAUUUUGUUGGUUUCUAGGAUCGACAUAAUGAUUAAUAGGGAUAGUUGGGGGCAUUAGUAUUCAAUUGUCAGAGGUGAAAUUCUUGGAUUUAUUGAAGACUAACUACUGCGAAAGCAUUUGCCAAGGAUGUUUUCAUUAAUCAAGAACGAAAGUUAGGGAUCGAAGACGAUCAGAUACCGUCGUAGUCUUAACC
rnacentral:rRNA from 1 species